rnacentral:lncRNA from 1 species
AGGCUUAGUAUUACUGAUGUCGUACAUGCGGGAAGAAAAGAGAGAAAGAGAUGAAGAAAUAGAGAGGAGAUAGAGAAUAGAGAAGAAUAAUAGAAAGUUUUGAGGGAUCCUAUCAAAGUCCUCACCCUCGCGUGGACUGUUUGUUUGUUUGUUGUCUGGGUUAUGUUUUUACCCAUCACUGAAAAAAGGAGGUUAUCUGAGCUACGUGUUCACUCAGCAUCGAUGAGGGAUGUUGAUUGGGCUUUGUGUUCACUCAUCAACAAAGAAGGAUGUCGUCUGGGCUACGUGUUCACCCAUGAUUGAAGAAUGAUGUUGAGGGAUGAUUUUAACAUCUAU